rnacentral:rRNA from 1 species
AUUGAACGCUGGCGGCAUGCUUUACACAUGCAAGUCGAACGGCAGCGGGGGCUUCGGCCUGCCGGCGAGUGGCGAACGGGUGAGUAAUGCAUCGGAACGUGCCCAUGUCGUGGGGGAUAACGUGGCGAAAGCUACGCUAAUACCGCAUACGUCCUGAGGGAGAAAGCGGGGGAUCUUCGGACCUCGCGCGAUUGGAGCGGCCGAUGUCGGAUUAGCUAGUAGGUGAGGUAAAGGCUCACCUAGGCGACGAUCCGUAGCGGGUCUGAGAGGAUGAUCCGACACACUGGGACUGAGACACGGCCCAGACUCCUACGGGAGGAAGAAGUGGGGAAUUUUGGACAAUGGGCGCAAGCCUGAUCCAGCCAUGCCGCGUGAGUGAAGAAGGCCUUCGGGUUGUAAAGCUCUUUCGGCCGGGAAGAAAUCGCACGGGCUAAUACCCUGUGUGGAUGACGGUACCGGAAUAAGAAGCACCGGCUAACUACGUGCCAGCCGCCGCAGUAACAC